rnacentral:lncRNA from 1 species
CAGUUCUACACGGGCAUGGAGAUCAAGGUGUGGGCCAUCGCCUGCUUCACACCCUAGGGCCACUGUACAGAAGUCCAUCUCAAGUCCUUAGCUCCAACAACAGAGGAAGAUCUCAAGAGAGGCUGGGAUGCCGAUCCAGGGUCAGCCCUGCUUCUGUCAAUAUGCACAGGAUGCAGCUCAUGUGGAGCCCAUGUUCCAACACCUGAAGAACACAUAUGCUGGUCUCCAGCUGGUGGUGGUCAUCCUGUCUGGCAAAAACUUCUGUGUAUGCGGAAGUCAAGAGUGUGGGAGACACAGUGCUGGGGAUGGCCACACAGUGCGUCUAGAUGAAGAACUUGCAGAGGACCACACCACAGACCCCAUACAAUCUCUGCUUAAAGAUCAGUGUCAAACUGGGAGGCGUCAACAACAUCCUGCAGCCACAGGGCAGGCCUCCAGUGUUCCAGCAGCCUGUCAUCUUCCUGGGAGCCGAUGUCACCCACCCACCAGCUGGGGAUGGGAAGAAACCUUCGAUUGCUGCCAUCGUGGGCUGUAUGGACGCACACCCCGAUUGCUACUGUGCCACCACGCAAGUGCAGCAGCACUGACAGGAGAUCAUCCAGGACCUGGCUGCUAUGGUGUGAGAGCUGCUUAUUCAGUUCUAUAAAUCUACCGGCUUCAAGCCCAGCCGUAUCAUCUUCUACCAAGGGCCAGUUCCAGCAGGUUCUCCACCGUGAGCUCCUGGCCAUCAGAGAGGCCUGCAUAAAGCUGGAGAAGGACUCUCAGGCAGGGAUCAUGUUCAUUGUGGUGCAGAAGCCGCGCCACACACGCCUCUUCUGCACAUGCAAAAACUAGCGGGUUGGAAAGAGUGGGAACAUUCCAGCAGGCACAACCGUAGACACGAAGAUCACCCACCCCACUGAGUUUGAUUUCUACCUGGGCAGUCAUGCCGGCAUCCAGGGGACAAGCCGUCCUUCCCACGACCACGUGCUUUGGGAUGACAAUCGUUUUUCUUCUGAUGAGCUGCAGAUCUGAAGUACAAGCUGUGUCACUCAUACGUGUGCUGCACACGCUCUGUGUUAAUACCCGCGCCAGCUUACUAUGCUCAUCUGGUGGCCGUCCGAGCCAGGUACCACCAGGUGGAUAAAGAACAUGACAGUUGAGUGUCGCGCACCUGGUAGGGGGUCAAGACGAAGCUGGCUUCUCAGGGGCUGCGAUGGUUGCUUUCCAUAUACAUGUCUGGUCCUGGUGCCUCGCUUGAUAUCCAGGAAAGACUGCAUCCUUUUCCUCUUCUUUCCCGUGUCUCUGCAGCACUGAAGGAAGCCAUGCCUCUGGGCAGAGCGACAGAUGAGAUCAUCAAGCGCUGGCCAAGGCGGUCCAGGUCUACCACGACACACUGUGCACCAUGUAUUUUGCUUGA